rnacentral:lncRNA from 10 species
GUACCUCCCACUGGCCAAGCCAACCAGAAACAGGAAUGCAGAGGAGCCCAUUGAUGCAGACCUGUGGGCCAGCCUACCGGGGUGUGGAGAAGAAUCCAGCUCAUUCUGCUGACAGGUUUGAAGUUUAAUCCUAAGAAUAAUGGAAAGCCCAAAAUCCCCAUUGGGAAAUUUUGACAACGGGAGUGGCAUGAACUAGUGUGUGCUUUGAGUAUCAUGCUCUGGCUGCUGUGUGGAGACCUGAAUGUAUGAAACAGAAGUGGAAGCAGGCUGCCCUGUCAGGAGACCCUGCGGUGUCCGUCGCUGUCGCCUGUCCUCCACACAUGGAAUUCAGCCACUGUAGACUGGCUCGUGGCCCUCCCUGAUAUGGUGCAACUGAAGGACUAUGGCUAUGGUAGCUGCCCAGGAAGACUGGCCAUCCGAUUCAUGCUUGUGCAGUCCUUGGACUUUUAGAUCUACCAGGAUCAUCACAUUUUGGAGUUCUCAGUCCUGUGUACAAAGUCCAACUAUCUGAGGCCACCAUGCACUUAGGAUGUCCAGGCCACCUGGAGAGGCUACCAGAUAUGUGUAUGAAGAAGUUGUCUUGAAAGUGGAUCUUCCAGCCCAUGUUAUUCUAGCUACAGCUGUUUGAGUCUCCUUGUACAAGCCCCAGACAUCAUGGAAUGGAGAAGAGCUGAGCCACGGUGUCCUCUCCAAAUUCUCAAUCCACAAAACUCAUGAAAAUAAUAAAAUGAUUGUGUCUUUGUGCUACUAAAUUUAGGGAAAUUUGUUAUUCAGCAAAGAUGAUUAGAACAAGAGACCACAAUUUGACUAUCAUAUUUCAGAAAUGACACAGAUCCAGAGAGGUUAAAUAAAUCAUUUUAUUCAAAUGAAGA